CAUUGGUGAGAAUCCAAUGCCCCGAAAACCUAAGGGUUCCUCCACAAGGUUCGUCCAUGGAGGGUGAGUUAGGGCCUAAGACCAGGCCGAAAGGCGUAGUCGAUGGACAACAAGUGAAUAUUCCUGUACUACCCCUUGUCGGUCCAUUCCAUUCUCUCUUAGAGACAAAGCUAAGAGUUGGCUUUCUUCUCUUUCUGCAAGAUCAAUUACUACAUGGAAUGAUAUGGCUCAGAAAUUUCUUGGUAAGUUCUUUUCACCAGCAAAGUUUGCGAAGAUGCGUAACAAUAUUACUAAUUUUAUACAGGUGGAUAAUGAAUCAUUAUAUGAAG
rfam:Eucalyptus grandis cultivar BRASTZ1 unplaced genomic scaffold scaffold_3, whole genome shotgun sequence.